rnacentral:rRNA from 1 species
GGGGAAUUGUUCGCAAUGGGCGCAAGCCUGACGACGCAACGCCGCGUGGAGGAUGAAGAUCUUCGGGUCGUAAACUCCUUUCGAUCGAGACGAAUGGCCCUUGGGCUAAUCACCAGGGGAAUGACGGUACCGAGAGAAGAAGCCCCGGCUAACUACGUGCCAGCAGCCGCGGUAAAACGUAGGAGACAAACGUUAUCCGGAGUUACUGGGCGUAAAGGGCGUGUAGGUGGUUGCGUAAGUCUGGCGUGAAAUAUCUCGGCUUAACCGAGGCAGGUCGUCGGAUACUGCGUAACUAGAGGACGGUAGAGGCGUGUGGAAUUCCGGGUGUAGUGGUGAAAUGCGUAGAGAUCCGGAGGAACACCAGUGGCGAAGGCGACACGUUGGGCAGUUGCUGACACUGAGGCGCGACAGCGUGGGGAGCAAAC